GAUGAAGAACGUAGCGAAAUGCGAUAAGUAAUGUGAAUUGCAGAAUUCAGUGAAUCAUCGAAUCUUUGAACGCACAUUGCGCCCGCCAGCAUUCUGGCGGGCAUGCCUGUUCGAGCGUCAUUUCAACCCUCGAGCCCCCCCCGGGGGCCUCGGUGUUGGGGGACGGCACACCAGCCGCCCCCGAAAUGCAGUGGCGACCCCGCCGCAGCCUCCCCUGCGUAGUAGCACACACCUCGCACCUGAGCGCGGAGGCGGUCACGCCGUAAAACGCCCAACUUUCUUAGAGUUGACCUCGGAUCAGGUAGGAAUACCCGCUGAACUUAAGCAUAUCAAUAAGCGGAGGA
rnacentral:misc_RNA from 1 species